ensembl:antisense
UUAGUGCAAUGAAGAAAAAGUGGGUGAAGGAUGAAUGAAAGCAGCAGGCACCGAAUAAUUUAAGAUGGGGACAUGCGAAGAAGCAGAGAAAGGAAAGAACUGAACUUGAAGGUCAAAGAAGAGAGAAAAAUUAACUUUAAACAGGGAAGUGUUGAAAAGCUUCCCACUUGGUGAACAUCUGUCCAAAGGUUCCGAAGUUGUACCUGUCAUGUCUGACAGAGUCUCCAGUUCUCGGGCAGCAGAAGGCCCCAGAGCGAUGGUGUGGAUGAUGGCACCGCUGCGAGAGACGGCCUCAAAGCAGGAACUUAUUCCAUUAUCUUCCCCAUCUGUCAGCAAUACGAUCUCAGAACCGGAAGUGCUCUGGUCACUGGAGGUCAGAAUGCUAUUAAAUGAGUGAACUCUGAAUUCAGGACCCUAUUCAAAGUCCAGGAAACAGGGCAAGGGAGGAGGUGGAAAGAGCCUUAGAGCUGGAGCUGUGAGGCGCCCUCCACUGGCCAUGACGUGGUCACUGCACUAUGAACUCAGCUCUGGAUACCUGCACAAGAUCAAGUCAGGCAAGAUUUAUCCAGCACCAAGCACACCACUCGCCUUCUGGACUUGAGCAAUGAAAAUGUAGGUGGAGGAGGCGCU